rnacentral:rRNA from 1 species
GCCCAGCGCUAAAUCUGCUGAUUACGAUAAUUAGUCAGAAAUGUGGCGUAUAGGUGCGAUUGAUUCGACUCGUACGUUUCUCGUUCACCCUAAGUCCUCCUUGAUUGGGGCCACGGUCCAUAGAAGGUGCUAGACCUGUAGGGGUGGCGAAACGUGUGAGAGCCGGUCGCACUCUAGAGUCGAGUUGUUUGGGAUUGCAGCUCAAAGAAGGUGGUAGACUUCAUCUAAGGCUAAAUAUGGCCACGAGACCGAUAGCGAACAAGUACCGUGAGGGAAAGUUGAAAAGAACUGUGAAGAGAGAGUUAAAGAGGACGUGAAACCGCUGAGAUUGAAGCGGAUAGAGUCGACGAAACUCUGAUCAACAUUCAAUCGAUUCGACGAAUAUCGCACGUUUGGCCUAUGUACGUCGUCGUCUUGGAUGCUCGUUUCUUCAUCCAUUGUGGGUGCUCUCGUAUUCACGUGGACGACGACGGCGAUGUCGAAACGACGACGACAUGGCUACGUUUUGCGAUUUGCUAACAAUUCGUUGUAUGCGCAUGUGUGUGAAUGCAUAUGAAAAAAUGGAUGAUUUUGUUGAUGGUAUGCGUCGAGUGGCUUGUCAUGGUGUAUCAUUGCGGCGAGAUAGAAAAAAAAUGGAGAUAGUGGAUCAUGGAUGGGUCGGUGCCGUCUAGGCGCGCGCCGUCACGAAUGAAUCCUGUCUCCUCUCUCGAUUAAAAAUGGCAAUGGCGAUAUCACGGAGAUAAGUGCUAGUGAAUCACUAACUCGAUGUGAACGUCGAUCACCUAUCCGACCCGUCUUGAAACACGGACCAAGGAGUCUAGCACAUACGCGAGUCAAUGGGUAUAUGAAAAAACCUAUAGGCGUAAUGAAAGUGAAGACGUGUUUACACGAUUGAUGUGCGAUUCGUUGUUGGCGGCGGCGGCGGCGGGUUGCCCGUUCGUUCGUUCGACGACGACGACGAAGCAGCAUAGCCCCGUUCAUAUUUGUGUGCCGUGUGCGUUGCGAGCGGUGGUAGCAGACAAUUGCACGGAGGAAGAGCGUAUGCGCUGGUACCCGAAAGAUGGUGAACUAUGCCUGAGCAGGAUGAAGCCAGAGGAAACUCUGGUGGAAGUCCGAAGCGGUUCUGACGUGCAAAUC